rnacentral:rRNA from 1 species
UACGUAGGGCGCAAGCGUUGUCCGGAAUUAUUGGGCGUAAAGAGCUCGUAGGCGGUUUGUCGCGUCUGCUGUGAAAGCCCGGGGCUCAACCCCGGGUCUGCAGUGGGUACGGGCAGACUAGAGUGCAGUAGGGGAGACUGGAAUUCCUGGUGUAGCGGUGAAAUGCGCAGAUAUCAGGAGGAACACCGAUGGCGAAGGCAGGUCUCUGGGCUGUUACUGACGCUGAGGAGCGAAAGCAUGGGAGAAGCGGAAUAAGG